rnacentral:rRNA from 1 species
CAAUAGCGUAUAUUAAAGUUGUUGCGGUAAAAAAGCUCGUAGUUGGAUUUCUACCGAAGAUAGCCGGUCGGGUCUUCGACCUUGUAUCUGGUUUUGUCUUUGGUAUCCUCAUAGGGAACGUUUCUGCGCUUUAUUGCGUGGUGCGGUAUCUAUGACUUUUACUUUGAGGAAAUUAGAGUGUUCACGGCAGGCAAACGCCUUGAAUAUAUUAGCAUGGAAUAAUAACAUAGGAUCUUCGUCCUAUUUUGUUGGUUUCUAGGGCUAAGAUAAUGAUUAAUAGGGAUAAUUGGGGGCAUCUGUAUCAACGCGUCAGAGGUGGAAUUCCUGGAUUGCGUUGCGACAAACUACUGCGAAAGCAUUUGCCAAGGAUGUUUUCAUUAA